rnacentral:rRNA from 1 species
UACGAAGGGGGCUAGCGUUGCUCGGAAUCACUGGGCGUAAAGCGCACGUAGGCGGACUCUUAAGUCGGUGGUGAAGUCCUGGAGCUCAACUCCAGAACUGCCUUCGAUACUGAGAGUCUCGAGUCCGAGAGAGGUGAGUGGAACUGCGAGUGUAGAGGUGAAAUUCGUAGAUAUUCGCAAGAACACCAGUGGCGAAGGCGGCUCACUGGCCCGUAACUGACGCUGAGGCACGAAAGCGUGGGGAGCAAACAGG